rnacentral:rRNA from 1 species
UACGUAGGCAGCGAGCGUUGUUCGGAGUUACUGGGCGUAAAGGGUGUGUAGGCGGUCCCUUAAGUUUGGUGUGAAAUCUCCCGGCUCAACUGGGAGGGUGCGCCGGAUACUGAGGGGCUAGAGUGCGGGAAGGGAAAGUGGAAUUCCUGGUGUAGCGGUGAAAUGCGUAGAUAUCAGGAGGAACACCGGUGGUGCAAACGGCUUUCUGGACCGUAACUGACGCUGAGGUGCGAAAGCGUGGGGAGCAAACAGG